ensembl:lncRNA
GCAGAGACUCGGGGUCAGCGGGUCAGAGCGCGGCUGUGUAGGGCUGCUAUUCCCGUUGGGGUAGGUUCUGCAGACCCCGGCCCCUGGAGCCACUCACCAUUUCCGACGGAUGGGCCGGAGGGGCCGCCGGCUGCACCAGCCAGGGUCUCGGUACCCUGCAAGGAGAGAAAGAGGUGCUGGGCCAGGUGUCACCGGAGCCAAGCAGCACACGACUGCCCCUGCCCACUUCCACCUCAGCCCUGACCCUCCCUGCACCUGGGAGUCCACUGUCUCCUGAUGUAUCUGAUCAGGGGCGGCCACAAGAGCACAUAUUCCGGGACGUGAUAUGUGUGGCCCAUGUUGGGGAAGAGCUGUCAUUGUUCACUGCCAUGUCCCCAAUGCUUAGCACCAUUUGUCGCAUGGGAGGUGCAGGUUAACAACCCAGUAGUGCCCAGUGGCCUGGGGGACACCUGACCUUCUGGGGCCUGUUGGCUGACAGGUGGGAGGGACUGCCAUCCAUCGUUGGGGCCAAGGAUGCUGCUCAACCUCCCACAACGCACAGAGCAGCCCGGUGCACAGAUUCACCCGGCCGCAAACACCAACUGCCGAGGUAAUACCCUGCCCCGAGGGAAGCGGACAAGGCUUGAGCAUCGAGAACACUGCAAGGGUCUCAGCCAGUGAGGGCUGCCUGGGCCCCACCGCAGGCCUGACUCCUAGAGCCAAGCCGUUUUCUCCCUUGAGGCAGUGGGUAGGGUUCUCAUGUGACAACCUUGAGUUUGCAGCUCGGCUAUGCACACAGGUGGACUCUCUGUGCUUUGUCAGUUCCUACUGCUUGGCCCUGGGGCCAAAAGCUGCUUCCCAGGCCUCACUCUGAGAAGCAUCUUCACGCCCUGGGUGGGUCCACUGCCUCUUCCCGCCGACUCUGCUCCUUGGGAAGAGCAUGUUCAUCAGCAUGGCCAGGCAGGGAGAGCUCAGGACAGCCAGACCCGGGGCCAGUGGCACAGGUAUGUGUGGGAAGGGGCACCAGGGGCCUGUCCUCCCUGCGGGCAGAGCCAUCUGUCCUCUGUGGACCUGCAGUUUCUGUAAACAUCUGGAAGGAGCCAGGAAGCAGCAACUCCGGAUGCCCAGAGGAGCCCCAGCCAAGGCGGAUGCAGCCAGGACAUCACGCCGUGGGGCUGGGCAAGGGGAGCCGAGCCGCAGGCUGGAAAGGCAGGGGUGCACGGCAGAUGGGGAUGCCGAGCCAGAUGCUGACCGAGCUCCACCCACAUUUGUGAGGGGCGUGGGAGCUGCGCCCUCAGAGGCCUUAGCUGGCUCCGGGCUUGAAUUGCGGGUCCCAAGAGCCAGCCGUGGUGUGCCAUGUGGCCUCAGGCUGAGCCUCCCUGUGUUUCUGUAAAACAGCACUCUCGUCUUUUUAUAUGAGAACCGAAUUCAAGGUCCUAGAAGUCCUCGCAUCGGAAAGGAAAAGUCGUGGUUUGAUAAGCAAUACACUCUCUGGCUGAGCCCAAGUCAAGAUUUUCAAUCCAAGUUCAGCAGCGCCCAGCUUCAGCCGGGACUGCUCUGGCCGCACCUGCUGUGAGCUGGCGCUUCUGAUUCAACACCACACUUGGUGCAAGGGUCCCAGAACAGCUGAACUGAGUCACCGACGGCGGCUCUUCCUAGAGGCGCACGUUCGGGAGAGGUGAGGCUGCGGGGCUGGGGCCCUGGGCUAAUACUCCCUGGCUUUGUGACCCUGGGCAAAUUACUCAGUCUCUCUGAGCUGCUGCUUUCUCUCCUGUGGAGUGGGCUGAUCCCAGCCACACCAGCACCCCUGGUUGUUCCGUGGUUAAUGUCUGCCAAACAUGGUGCCAUGGAGAACACCCAGCAGAGCCCGGCUCCUUGUUUGGUGGGGAGGGACAGCGCUGCAGGGGCACCUCCCCCGGCCCUCGAGUGCCUUUCCACCUUGCUUCCAGGACCUCUGCGGCUCAGAGGCAGUGCAGGUGGGCUUCGGCAACAGGGAGGGCCCAGGCCAGCACACAAGGAAGAAGGGAAGGCGCCAGGGAUCGCCCCCCGCAGGAAGGAGAGAGACAGAGGCGAAGAUAGGAAGGAUAUGCAUUGCUGCCUUGUCACUUGGGGAUUUUCAAGUCAAAAUGGGGAGGGGGCGAGGGUAGGUUUGGAAAGUAUCCAAAUGGCAUUGUUUCACAUUGCUGGCUGGGGCAACCCUCUGCAGUGACCCUAAAUACCCACUAGAGGUCACACUGCAAAAAGGGACCUCCCCUAAAGAGAGGGGACAAGGGAGUACCCCGGGCACCCCACCCCCUGCAAGGGGAGGAAGGCUGAAGCCCCGCCAUCCAUCGGGUGGGCAAAGUGCCAUGCCUCCAAGGGCAGCACAGCCAAGCGGUCCCCAGAGGGAGGACUGAGCUCCAUCUGGGCCCAGGUGACCCAGCCACAAUCCCUUCUCAGCCUCCGCCUCACCCACUGGUGUUAGGCACGGCCAGCCUAGGCAGCCACCAGUCCUCGCUGCCCAUCUGCUGUCCCCUCAACCCCAGCAGCAGACAGAAAAGCCCAAGGUCUGAGCACCCAGGAGGAUGCUGGUGUCAGAUCCCUGGAGAACAAAGCCUCUGCCCUUGUGUCUAGGUGAGGCUGCGGUACCCAGGCCCAGAGCAGGUCCCCCCGGCUGGGCUGUCCACUCUCUCACAGCAAGAGGGGAACUGUAGCAGGCAGCAGCCUUCCACUCGUUCCCCAUGACCUGAUUUUUUUUUCAUUUUAAAAUAAGAGAAACGUAUGAAAGAUGCCGCAUUUAGUCCCUUAUCAGAUCCACACUCCCCGCUGUGACCUGGGAAAUCAGGGUGCGUCUCCAGUCUGCGGGGUACAGGGUCUCGUCCAGACAGGAGGCUGCAUGGUGCUGCUUGUAGCGAGUGACUCGUUUGUAGUUGGCACGCCCCGUGCAGCUGAGGAUGACCCCAUGGCUUGGCCCCGGGACAGGACCCAGGCCCCAGGAAAUAGCAGCAAACCUGAAAGUAGAGAAGGAAGUGCCCACGGCCGGGGACCCAUGAUCGCCUGCUCUCCCUGGAGGGCGCUCAGGGCCCAGGAAGCAGCCGCAGCUGGCAGGCCAUGCGGCAACCCCGAGACCCGCAGAGAUGGCAGUGGGUGGGCCUGCAGAUCACUGCCCCGGGCACUGUGUCCUGCCUGAGGGGCUUGUUUCUGAACCACACAGAAAGGGGGGGGGCUCGUAAUCAAUGGUAUCAGGAUCAACAGGUGAAUAGUCGCUAGUUCUGCCAUGUGAGCCUUAAUCUUUUUUUUUUUUUUUUUGAGAGGGAGUCUCGCUCUGUCGCCCAGGCUGGAGUGCAGUGGCGCGAUCUCGGCUCACUGCAAGCUCCGCCUCCCGGGUUCACGCCAUUCUCCUGCCUCAGCCUCCUGAGUAGCUGGGACUACAGUCGCCCGCCACCGCGCCCGGCUAAUUUUUUGUAUUUUUAGAGAUGGGGUUUCACCGUGGUCUUGAUCUCUUGACCUUGUGAUCCGCCCGCCUCGGCCUCCCAAAGUGCUGGGAUUACAGGCGUGAGCCACCGCACCUGGCCUAGCCUUAAUCUUUUUAAAGCAAAACAGAGUUGAAGUUCUACCCUCCGAUACCUUUAGAUGUGACCAUACUAUUCCUACGCGUGUCUUCAGCUUUUCACCACACGUGAAUUGAUAAAAAUCAUUUGCAUUUUUACGUGUUACACCAAUACCAUCUCUCACUUGUUUUGCAACGGAACAAGGCUGUGUGCCCAUCUGCCAGGUGACAGCAUGGGUGGCUCCCCCGUAGUCCACCCGCCUCCUUCCGGCCUGUGACAGGUGUCACAGUGUGGCAAUGAACAUCCCUGCGUGGCCCAUGCCCGGGCCCUCAGGACGCAGUUGCCAAUCCCAGGGCCCAUGUCCUUAGUGUCAUGAGCUAGCACCAGCUGUCCCCAAAACAGCUGUCCCACCUGCGUUCCUGUUCCCCGGCAUCACUGCCAACACUUGGAAAAUCACACUUGCCAAUUUCUGCCAGUCGAUGGUGUACUUUGAGUGCAUUUCCAUGGAAAACAUCCUUUUUCUACAAUUCCAAGCUAACAGCAUUAAUUAGCAGCAGUGAGUCACGGGGAGGCUGGGAUGAGAACAGGAGGUACUUUCGCUGUCUUUGCUAAAUACUUGAACUGUUUACAAGAAUGUAUUACUUUAGUAAACAGAAAAGAAAGAU